AUGGUUCAAGGAUGAAAGACGGUUUCGGCUGUCACUUACAGAUGGACCCGCGGCGCAUUAGCUAGUUGGUGGGGUAAUGGCUCACCAAGGCGACGAUGCGUAGCCGACCUGAGAGGGUGAUCGGCCACACUGGGACUGAGACACGGCCCAGACUCCUACGGGAGGCAGCAGUAGGGAAUCUUCCGCAAUGGACGAAAGUCUGACGGAGCAACGCCGCGUGAGUGAUGAAGGUUUUCGGAUCGUAAAGCUCUGUUGUUAGGGAAGAACAAGUGCGAGAGUAACUGCUCGCACCUUGACGGUACCUAACCAGAAAGCCACGGCUAACUACGUGCCAGCAGCCGCGGUAAUACGUAGGUGGCAAGCGUUGUCCGGAAUUAUUGGGCGUAAAGGGCUCGCAGGCGGUUUCUUAAGUCUGAUGUGAAAGCCCCCGGCUCAACCGGGGAGGGUCAUUGGAAACUGGGAAACUUGAGUGCAGAAGAGGAGAGUGGAAUUCCACGUGUAGCGGUGAAAUGCGUAGAGAUGUGGAGGAACACCAGUGGCGAAGGCGACUCUCUGGUCUGUAACUGACGCUGAGGAGCGAAAGCGUGGGGAGCGAACAGGAUUAGAUACCCUGGUAGUCCACGCCGUAAACGAUGAGUGCUAAGUGUUAGGGGGUUUCCGCCCCUUAGUGCUGCAGCUAACGCAUUAAGCACUCCGCCUGGGGAGUACGGUCGCAAGACUGAAACUCAAAGGAAUUGACGGGGGCCCGCACAAGCGGUGGAGCAUGUGGUUUAAUUCGAAGCAACGCGAAGAACCUUACCAGGUCUUGACAUCCUCUGACAACCCUAGAGAUAGGGCUUUCCCUUCGGGGACAGAGUGACAGGUGGUGCAUGGUUGUCGUCAGCUCGUGUCGUGAGAUGUUGGGUUAAGUCCCGCAACGAGCGCAACCCUUGAUCUUAGUUGCCAGCAUUCAGUUGGGCACUCUAAGGUGACUGCCGGUGACAAACCGGAGGAAGGUGGGGAUGACGUCAAAUCAUCAUGCCCCUUAUGACCUGGGCUACACACGUGCUACAAUGGACAGAACAAAGGGCUGCAAGACCGCAAGGUUUAGCCAAUCCCAUAAAUCUGUUCUCAGUUCGGAUCGCAGUCUGCAA
rnacentral:rRNA from 1 species